GACCAAGGGCCAUUCCACUACUCUCUUCCUCUCAUUCCCGUAAAACCCUCAAGGAACAAAAAAAAAAAUGAAGAACACCAUUCUCUAAUAGUGGUUAGGAAGCAAGAAAAUCGGAAAAGAAGUGCUAGAGCAGCCCCGAAUUGGUGAAGAAUCUAAGCAAUUGGGCCAUCAAAUUGAAGUAUAGGAGAAGAUCUAUUGAAGUCAACUAGGGAUUAAGUUGGCUGUGAUUAUGCAGGUGAUUACUGAUGUCAUAAAACACUAAUGUUGGGUGAAUGAAGUGUAGAUAACUUUUGCUACUAAUAUGUGUAACAUGACUUGUAUUUGUGGUAGUAUCUAUUUCCGGCUUGGUAGUGUUUUGGAAGAUCCUUGACUUACUUUUGGACUUAUUUGUAUAAUAUUAGUUUAUAUCUGUUAAGUUGUAUUUAAAUUUUCCAACAACACUUUAAAUUUGCAUUUAUUCCCACCCCUAAGCCCUCGCUUAGGGUCAAAUCCAAGUAAUAGCUCGUCUGAUCCUCCCGGGCUUCCGCGUUAGACUAUUAUUCCAAUUUUUAAGCAGGUGUUUUGAGCGGGCUAUUACAUCGUUGUGCCAUGGUAAGCAAACCACUGCCUUGAAAACGAGAUUCGGUGCAACCGGGGUGCAUAAUUGUAUUCACCGAUUCGUUCACACACACACACACACACAAAUGAGAAGGGAGCUUAAAAUGAGAAGAAUGAGAAGCAAUCUUGUGCGUUCGAUGUGAUCAGAUCUAACAGCUCGCAAACGUUUACCUACCGCGUUUAGUAAUGGCAAAAUUGUAAAUAUUUCCAAAAAAAAAGAACCCUUUCUCUCGUUUCUCUCUCCUCGUGCUUCAGUCUCAUAGUCUCAUGAACUCCUUAUUCUCUGCUCUCCUUCGUGAUUCUCUCUCCUCACCGCUACCACUCCUCACCUGCUACAACCACUGCACCGCCACCAUCUCCACACUGCCAUAAUUACGCGUCAUCUCCUCUGCUACAAUUGCUUUGAUUUGAUCGAUGUUCUUCAUGCGGAAAAUACUGCAAUACUCAAUUAAUCACUUGAAUCUACAAUAAUUGAGCUUAAAAUUGAAGAUGAGGUGCUUCGAAGAAAGAAGUUCACAAAUUUGAGAAAAACACAAGUUUUAUUACAGGCUUUGAUGAUAAUGUUCAGCAGGCUGAUGUUUGUAUAAACAAUGAUUCCCUCUUUUUUUUUUGUUUCUCUACACCCCCAGCAGGCUGUAGGCUGUUAUGAUUACAUUGAAUGAGAUAAAAUGCAACAUUCCUCCAGGACAGUGUAGAACAGUUUCAUUUCACAUGGAAAUUUGAAAUUAUCUUGUUUCUGGUUGUAUCCACUUGAGGAAGCACUAGAACAAACACCUCUAAUAAUAUAUGGCUUGAGCCCUUUACCUGAGAGGUUAGUUAUUUUGUAACCUUAUUUUCUUUUGCUGAUAUAUUUUCCACAUUUUAUGGGAAAGCUUGCGAAGUUAACUUCUCGUUCCGUUAAUUUCUUAUACACAAACUUGCAACUGAAUAUUUCGACUUCUUUUUUACAAGGUUUUUUUUACUUAUUACUGUCACAUUUGGUCACUUGGGAUUUGAUUAUUUCUUUGCCAUAAGAGAAAGAGUGCAAUAAGACGACAAAAGAAAGUGAAGGGAUAUGACCUAUCCCACCCAAAUGAGUUCUUGCCUGAGCUGAAAGAAGAACAACAGCUUGCUCUUCCACCUAACGAAAGUGAACUGCAAAUCCAGACAAAACCUAUUGUACAAAUGGAAGUGUUUCUUUUGACCCAUCUCUUGAUAUAAGAAGACAGAAGAACGACACCACGCUGUCAAACUUAGGAUCUGUGAAGGAUAACAAAAGACAAGAUCUUAACUGUGCUGUGAAGGAAUACUUACUCUUGGCAGGGUAUCGUCUGACUGCAAUGACAUUCUAUGAAGAGGUUAUGGAUCAGGAAAAUAGAUACACCAUGUAACUUUGUUGCCUUGUUUCAUGGAAUGCAUAUGUAUGAUUGUGUGAUGCUAUCACUGCCUUACUUGGUAGCUUCAACUUGCCACUCAGUACUUCGGAUCUUGCCGCCGCCAAACUAAUAAGAUUUUGGGACUGAUCUCCACCGUCGUCGUCUCACUAAAGGCUACAGAUCGACUCAUCUCGACCGCGAAUCACAAAACUCUUCAGACUCGUAUCCACCGUGUCGUCUCACUAAAGGCUACGUGUACUUGAAAAAUUAGAAAUAUUCUCUCCGUGGAUUAAUAAGGAUCCACAGAAUACAGAAGUUGGAGGUGAAUUAUUUUCGACGCCAUUGACCUGAAACACCAUCUAGGGGAUCAUACUUAUGUCUCAGUAACUGAUAGUGGUUACUGGCAGAUAGAGCUAGAAGGUCUUGACAUUGCAAACAGUUCAACAGGUCACUGUUCGGCAGAAUACUGCAUCAUGUGAAGAGAUGGCUACAACAAUGUCUACGGCAGAAUCUGUAGCUCUUAAAGGACUACCUCAAUGCAUUGUUACUGUGAUAGCUGAGUUUGCCAGAUUCAGCAAGACUUUGAUAUUAUACUGGAGCCAUGUCCCAUGUUUGCUGAAGCCAUCCUUCAAGUAAGAAUCAGUACCCUGGGGUGCUCCUAAUAAGCUUCUUGGAGCUGAUGGCAGCUGGAUAAGGCACUGUGUCAUGUUCCUGAGUGGCUGACCUCAUGAGAUAAUAAAAUCAACCUUCAGAAGUGACAGAGAUGCCAGCUGCUCCUGUACACCCUUUCCACUCCAAGAUGAACAUUCGAAGAGGGGUACUAGAAGAAGAAUGUGCAGACAUAAUGCAGCACUUCUCCCGACUCAAAAGGAGGAAGGCAAAGGAAAAGGAAAAGGAAAAGGAUAUAUCGUCAUCUGAUGAAUCAGGCCAACGGUUUAGGUUUGCUUGAAAGGUUGAACCUGAUUUAUAUUCUUGUCUGAAGAUAUUGGGAUUAUGUGUGUCUGCUAUAUAAGUUGUCAAAUGUUUUCGGUUUCGCGUGGAAAAUAUCAAAUGUCUGCUAUAUAAGGUAGCUUAUUGAAUGUUUGGCACGGCAGUUAACCUGUCCUAUCACUAUUUAGGUGGUUUGUUUUUGUAAACAUAUGAUGGUUGAUUUAUAUGUGAAAAUCAAAGUUUCUUGGAA